rnacentral:lncRNA from 1 species
AUGGAUAAUACAUUUAAGUUAUUAGUACUACUAUUAUUUUUGGAGAGUUGGUAUCCUUGUUGGAACAAAUACCGCACAGAAAUCUGAUUGUGAUUUAAAUCUAACUAAAUCUUAUGAUAAAAUUAAUAAAAUCAACUUACCGAUAAUCGCUAAAUCCAAAUAAAAAUUUAAUUGAUCCGGAAGCGUGCGAGGCACUGCCCUAAGGCGUAUUUCCGUCCUUACGUGCGGGAUUAACCGGAAAUAACACCCCAAGGUACGACCGGAAUUCCUCCUCCUGCGAGCACGAUCGUGAAGGANUUUUUUUUUCGGCGAGAAAAAAAAAAAAGAACGACAGAAACGAAGAGGAGAGAGAAAGAGGAAAGAGAAAAAGUAAUAAGGGUAUUUUGGUCAGUUUGCUGAAAAAGCGGACCGAAUCUGCAAAAACCAAAAAGGUGACCCGGUUUUGCAAAAGCCCAAAAUAAGUGGAUUUUUUAUGCAAAAAGGCCAUAUAUAUAUAUAUAUAUAUAUAUUCUAGCACCAUACUUAAUUAUAAAAUAUUAAUUUGUAGAUCAAAUUAAAUCACUAAGCUUAACUAUUAACUGAUGCUGCAAAACAAUUAAAAAUGAUUUUGUGGGUCCAAAAAAGAUUAGCACCCAUCUCAACUCAGGCCGUAUCUAAAGGUUUGAGUAGGCCCAAAAUUUGGUUGGUGGGUGAUAUGAAUGUGGUUGAGUUUGGGCUUGGGCUCUUUUAACAACUUUGAAUCAUGGGCCACGACGCGCCAAAUAUUUUGUCACGCCAGUAAUUUCAAAAUCUUGAAUUUCUCCAAAUUUUACCAGUAGAAAAUUGGAUCCAAGUUAGGUGUAACAAGGGAGCAUAAAAAUAAAAAUGGAUGCAAACUACGUCCCCCGAGGCGAGCGCCGUUAUCAAGUCUCUCGCCCGCUGCUCAUAUUAAGUUUACAUCCCUAAUUACUUAGCCUUAGUUUGAUAUUGAGGUCCAUAUGACGCUAUUAGAUAAAAUAAAGUUUAGGUAAAAAUAUAUAGAAAUAUGUUUCUGCGUUCUCCGAUAGGACAGCAAGAAAUAUAUGAUAAUCGACUCAUUAUGAUAUGCGAAACGCAAUAUUACGUACGGAAACAACAAUGCGAUCUCCCGGCGACUGCAAACAAAGUCUUAGUGGGCUUCAUAUAAUUGAAAAGCACUUUUGAAUAUCAGUAAGUAUUUGUAUAAACUUACACCACAUCCUCAGAACUGAUAUAAUAAAAUAUACAUUAGCUCGUGUCGUAAAUCUUUCGGAAAGAAAGAACAACUUCUAAGUAUAAAUAGAGCGAAAAAUGAGUCAGAUCAGAUCUUCCACUUUCACCGUAAUCGAGGAGACUGAUAAUUGGCCUGUCGGCCCGAGCCCAAUCCUUGAUCCCUGCGGCCCGACCCGCCGUGAAUGCGGGCCACGGGCCGCGGGGACGUACCUUUCGACCUGAUCGAUCGGCUUUUCAUCGAACCGAUACUUUCGAGAACCGCCACUACUUCCUUCAUCGACGGUCGGCUCUUCGGUGUGACGCGGAACACAUCGUAGGGUUUAGCUAGCUGCCUGAAUGGCACCUUUGAUGGUUAUUGCCUUCGAGCCGCGGUCGCAUCAGAUCGAGCCAACGUUUUCGCUGGUCCAUUAAGAGGGCUUCGGCCCAUUCCACUAAGUGUUGAGAUUGCUCCGGGUCGACUAGUGUGAGCGCCCCAGCAGGCCGGAUAGCAUCUCGAGCAAGACUGACUCGGAAGCCGUAGACAUCUUUCACUAGAGAUGACUCUGAUUGAUACAAAAAGGGUACGGUUCUAGUAGGCUUCUACACGACCACUUUAAGAUUGUUGCGCUUAGACAGAGCUUUCUGCAAAAAGCAUGUUCAGAGGUAAGCUACUCGAGAUGCCGCGUUCAUAACUUUUUCCAAGUGUAGCUUCUGUUCGUUAAUGAUGUACAAAUAGAAAUAUGUGACUAUAAAAAUUUUUAGCGAUUUAUUUUGAGAGCAAUAUUCGCAGAAUAAUGAGGGAAUAUUUACACUAGAAUUUUAUCAACAUGGAAAUACAAUUUCAGUUUCGUAAAAUUUUGGCCAUCGAUUCAGUUUUCAUCCUCUGUGUUUCAGUUUCAAAAGCAUUUGGUCUAUGAGCGAUUAAAUUCUUCUUUUAUACACACAUCUAAAAAAUGGAUCGGCGCGCAGGCGAUGAUCAUAGGACCUCAAACUUCAAUCGGGCUUGAUGUUUAAGCAUGAAAGCUGACGACGAAAUUACAAUCAGAAUCAAGCUUUCAGGCACUAAAUUUCAUAGUUGAAAUUCCACAGGACAAAACUGGAAUCUAGAUAAAUAUCAGCUUAUGAGGGACUAAAACUAGCGUAAACUAUGCAAAAAUUUCCAGGAAAAGGAAAGGAAAUGGCUCACGGUCGCCAACAUACUCGGAGCUUGCGUAAAACCGAACAGUUGCCAUCACACCGUUUGUGCUGGGGACACAUUUGGGUGGGUGAAUCUCACUCAGUUGGCCCAGCCUUUGCUAGCAAAGUCGGAGAGCUUUCGCAAUUGAAGUUUCUACCAGGUAUGUACAUAAUCAAUCAUAAAUUAGCAGCAUACCACUUGAGAUUAUUUGAAAAUGCUAAAAUUGAUUAGAUAAGCGAAAAAAGAAGCGACAGAGUCAGCAAGGAUAUUGGAUGCCUUGAAGUCCCUGUAUUAUUGAUUUCUUCUCAACGAUGGUUAUGCUAAGAUUCCAGGCCACGUGCGGCCUCGAUUGCAAUCUUGCAUCAUCCUAUUAGGCUCCAUGAGGUGGCUCAAAAGUUGCACGCUCCUGCUUAAGAAUACAUUGGUUUCAUUAGACUAAAAGAAGUUGGAAAAUUUCAUUGGAAUAUCAUACUAAAGAACGAUCAAUUAGAGUAGUUCUCAAACUAUAAAGGGCUGUUUCUGUCAUGGUAUUAAAGCUUGUCAGAAAAAAAAAAACUAGCGAUUAUUUUAAGAUGGUUACAAUGAAUUACUAAGUAGAGCGUGUUCUAAAGUUAUGUUUUUGCAUUACUCAAAUAACUAUGUGACUGAUUUUAAAACACUAACAAUGAGAGUCUCAAUCUUGUAAUCAACAGAAAGCAAAGUAUCGAACACUUUUUUUUUUUUCUCACUUAAAAUCCCCCAAAAGCUCUUCCCCUCUAUAGCGUGAAGCAGAGACGCUUCAAGGCGGUCGUUCGGCUUUUGGAACUCUAAUGCGAGUAAUACGACAGGCAAUAGAGAGAGGCAAUUCUCAUUGGCCGAACAUGGGUGGUUUGCUGCUUGCCAAACAUGGGAAGUUUCACCUAGGAACUAUCUUAGAUACCCAAUAAAAAUUAUCAGACUUUAUCAUAUUACAUCCUAUACAGGAGUUAGGCAACAAGGAAAAAGUUAAAUGCGCCGAAAGUCUAUUGACUAAAGUGUUAUUCUCUUUACUUUAAUGCUAUUAUAUGCCGUAUUCCCUAAACUUUCCUGCAAUGCGUAAUUGCAUUCCAGUUCCACCCUCCAAACUGCUCAUGAUCCUUAUCCCUAUAACAUUACACCUUUAUCCUCUACCAAAUAAAAGUGUAAGCAUCUACAUUUAAUGGGAAAUGAGCGAAGUGUCAUACGCAGGCACCGUGGUUUAAUUGACAUGUGAAGUUCACGGACUAAGUAUUAAGUAAAGAAGUAUACAAAACGAAUCGGAGGUUUGUCAGAAAACUUACUCCGAAAGAGGUGGAUUUUCUAAGCUCCCUUCGGCAUAUAAUUCAUAGAUGAGAGAAGCUCUUUCUCCUCCAAGCAAUUAACCAACAGUUGACAGGUGGGGAUGUGAAAGCCUCCCCAGGAAGUUUAUUUCAGACUAUAAUUACAAAGAAUAUUAUAUGUUAGUUUUGAUACACUAUCGAAAAGAAUUCGAUGCACUAGCACACACACUACAAAUUAAUCAACCAAUUGCAGCAAAGUUUCAUGGGAAUAUGAAAAUAAAUCAUAUAAUUUAUAGCAAAUUAAGCAUUCAAACCACACUAGGAAAGGAAACAUGAGGGGGGGACAAUUAGUGAUGGAUAAUACAUUUAAGUUAUUAGUACUACUAUUAUUUUUGGAGAGUUUGGUUAUCCUUGGUUGAACAAAUACCGCACAGAAUCUGAUUGUGAUUUAAUCUAACUAAUCUUAUGAUAAAAUUAAUAAAUCAACUUACGAUAAUCGCUAAAUCCAAAUUAAAAUU